GAGCUGAGGCUCAGUGCUAGAGUGUUUGCCUGCCACACAUGAGGCCCUGGGUUCAAUCCCCAGCAACACA
rnacentral:tRNA from 1 species